AUCAACUUUCGAUGGUAGGAUAGAGGCCUACCAUGGUGGUAACGGGUAACGGGGUGUUAGGGCACGACACCGGAGAGGGAGCCUGAGAAACGGCUACCACAUCCAAGGAUGGCAGCAGGCGCGCAAAUUACCCAAUCCCGACACGGGGAGGUAGUGACAAUAAAUAACAAUACGGGGUUCUUUAGGAUCUCGUAAUUGGAAUGAGUACAAUUUAAAUCUCUUAACGAGGAACAAUUGGAGGGCAAGUCUGGUGCCAGCAGCCGCGGUAAUUCCAGCUCCAAUAGCGUAUAUUAAAGUUGUUGCAGUUAAAAAGCUCGUAGUUGAAUUUCGAGACCGGUUUACUGGUCGUGCUUUUGUACGUACUGGUAUUAUUGGUUUCUCCUUUCUGACGAAUCAUAAUGCCAUUAAUUUGGUGUUUUGGGGAAUCAGGACUGUUACUUUGAAAAAAUUAGAGUGUUUAAAGCAGGCUCACGCUUGAAUACAUUAGCAUGGAAUAACGAAAUAGGACGUUUGAUUUUAUUUUGUUGGUUUCUAGGAUCGACGUAAUGAUUAAUAGGGAUAGUUGGGGGCAUUAGUAUUCAAUUGUCAGAGGUGAAAUUCUUGGAUUUAUUGAAGACUAACUACUGCGAAAGCAUUUGCCAAGGAUGUUUUCAUUAAUCAAGAACGAAAGUUAGGGGAUCGAAGACGAUCAGAUACCGUCGUAGUCUUAACCAUAAACUAUGCCGACUAGGGAUCGGAUGAUGUUAAUUUUUUAAUGACUCAUUCGGCGCCUUACGGGAAACCAAAGUGUUUGGGUUC
rnacentral:rRNA from 1 species